rnacentral:misc_RNA from 1 species
CAUGCAUAUCAUCUUGCAGCAAAAGGUUACAAAUUUGCUGAUUUUGAUGUUCCAGUUGUGCUGAGCUGUCAAAACAUCCAGAGGGGAGAGGGACAUUUAGGAUUUUCUUUCAUUUUGAAAAAGCUUUUCUUUAUGUUAGGCUCUUAAAGAUGCCAGCCCUCCACGCACACACAGAGGCACACGCGCACACACAAAAAAAAAAAAGGAGCUGCAAUAUGGUUUAAGUAGCUCUAUACUAUGAAGAAACCUGGUAGCAUCUGAUGAAAUUUUUACGCUGGAGUUUCUGCGAUCUGUUUUGCUGCUUGUUUGACAUUCUGCAGGGAACUUAAAAAGCUCUAGCUUUCAUUAAGCAGAUUCUGUUUGAGGCUUUACUGCUCAAUUCUCAUCCAAGCGAUGGCUCAGUGGCAGCAAAAGCACAAUGGAGGCUUUUUCCCUUUUGUUUUGAACAUUUCCCUUUCUGUUCUUCAUGAUGUAACCCAAGUUAAUUUAAUAGGAGGUUUUUGGCCUUGUCUUGUUCAUAGAUGAUACAGUUAUUUCUUAUAGUUGCAAUAGCUCUUGAAUGCAGGUCAUAACUCAUGUAGUUGCUUCUCUGAAGGGUUGAGC